rnacentral:rRNA from 1 species
UGUUUGGAGAGUUUGAUCCUGGCUCAGGACGAACGCUGGCGGCGUGCUUUACACAUGCAAGUCGAACGGGAUCCAUCUUUAAUCUUUUUGGUUUUUGGUGGUGAGAGUGGCGAACGGGUGAGUAACACGUGAGUAACCUGCCCUUUUCUUUUGGAUAACCGCAUGAAAGUGUGGCUAAUACGGGAUAUUCUGCUUCCUUCGCAUGGGGGUGGUGGGAAAGGCUUCAAUGUUUUUGUUGUUGUGGAUUGGGAUGGGCUCGCGGCUUAUCAGCUUGUUGGUGGGGUGAUGGCUUACCAAGGCUUUGACGGGUAGCCGGCCUGAGAGGGUGGGCGGUCACAUUGGGACUGAGAUACGGCCCAGACUCCUACGGGAGGCAGCAGUGGGGGAUUUUGCACAAUGGACGCAAGUCUGAUGCAGUGACGCCGCGUGAGGGAUGACGGCCUUCGGGUUGUAAACCUUUUUCGCUGGGUUGAAAGGCCGCUUUUGUGGUGGUUGAUUGAUACUGGUAAAGAAGUACCGGCUAACUACGUGCCAGCAGCCGCGGUAAUACGUAGGGUACUAGCGUUGUCCGGUUUUAUUGGGCGUAAAGGGCUUGUAGGUGGUUUGUCGCGUCUGUCGUGAAAUCCCAUGGCUUAACUGUGGGCUUGCGGUGGGUACGGGCAGGCUUGAGUGCGGUAGGGGAGACUGGAAUUCCUGGUGUAGCGGUGGAAUGCGCAGAUAUCAGGAGGAACACCGGUGGCGAAGGCGGGUCUCUGGGCCGUUACUGACGCUGAGGAGCGAAAGCGUGGGGAGCGAACAGGAUUAGAUACCCUGGUAGUCCAUGCUGUAAACGUUGGGCACUAGGUGUGGGGGGCCGUUUUGGUUUUCUGCGCCGUAGCUAACGCAUUAAGUGCCCCGCCUGGGGAGUACGGCCGCAAGGCUAAAACUCAAAGGAAUUGACGGGGACCCGCACAAGCGGCGGAGCAUGCGGAUUAAUUCGAUGCAACGCGAAGAACCUUACCAAGGCUUGACAUGCACCGGGCGGGGUUUUAAUCGGCUCUUCUUUUUGCUGGUGUGCAGGUGGUGCAUGGUUGUCGUCAGCUCGUGUCGUGAGAUGUUGGGUUAAGUCCCGCAACGAGCGCAACCCUUGUCUAGUGUUGCCAGCAACACCGUUUUGGUGGUUGGGGACUCUCUAGGGACUGCCGGGGUUAACUCGGAGGAAGGUGGGGAUGACGUCAAAUCAUCAUGCCCCUUAUGUCUUGGGCUUCACGCAUGCUACAAUGGAUGGUACAGAGGGUUGCGAUACUGUGAGGUGGAGCUAAUCUCUUAAAGUUGUUCUAAGUUCGGAUAGUAGUCUGCAAUUCGACUGCUUGAAGGUGGAGUCGCUAGUAAUCGCAGAUCAGCAUUGCUGCGGUGAAUACGUUCUCGGGUCUUGUACACACCGCCCGUCACGUCACGAAAGUUGGUAACGCCCGAAGCCCGUGGCCUUAUGGGGAGCGGUCGAAGGUGGGAUUGGCGAUUGGGACGAAGUCGUAACAAGGUAGGCGUACCGGAAGGUGCGGCUGGAUCACCUCCUUU